rnacentral:rRNA from 1 species
GAUGAACGCUGGCGGCGUGCCUAAUACAUGCAAGUCGAGCGAACAGACGCUGAGCUUUCCACUCUGACGAUUGCGCCGGAAACGUGAGUAACACGUGGAUAACACCUCUCUCAGACUCGGAUACAUUUGGUAAACAGGAGAUCUAAUAGGAGAUAAUAUCAUUACGCAUGUGUUUAUAGUGUAAGACGGGUUUUUUGUAACAUUUUGAUGUGUCUUUGCGGUGCAUUAGCUAGUUGGUGGGGUAACGGCAUACCAAGGCAACGAUGCGUAGCCGACCUGAGAGGGUGAUCGGCCACACUGGAACUGAGACACGGUCCAGACUCCUACGGGAGGCAGCAGUAGGGAAUCUUCCGCAAUGGGCGAAAGCCUGACGGAGCAACGCCGCGUGAGUGAAGAAGGUCUUCGGUUCGUAAAGCUCUGUUGUUAGGGAAGAACGAAUGUGUAGUAAACAUUGACCGUAGUGACGGUACCUAAUCAGAAAGCCACGGCUAACUACGUG